rnacentral:rRNA from 1 species
UGGGGAAUUUUGGACAAUGGGCGAAAGCCUGAUCCAGCAAUGCCGCGUGCAGGAUGAAGGCCUUCGGGUUGUAAACUGCUUUUGUACGGAACGAAACGGUUCGCCUUAAUACGGUGGGCUAAUGACGGUACCGUAAGAAUAAGCACCGGCUAACUACGUGCCAGCAGCCGCGGUAAUACGUAGGGUGCGAGCGUUAAUCGGAAUUACUGGGCGUAAAGCGUGCGCAGGCGGUUAUAUAAGACAGAUGUGAAAUCCCCGGGCUCAACCUGGGACCUGCAUUUGUGACUGUAUAGCUAGAGUACGGUAGAGGGGGAUGGAAUUCCGCGUGUAGCAGUGAAAUGCGUAGAUAUGCGGAGGAACACCGAUGGCGAAGGCAAUCCCCUGGACCUGUACUGACGCUCAUGCACGAAAGCGUGGGGAGCAAACAGGAUUAGAUACCCUGGUAGUCCACGCCCUAAACGAUGUCAACUGGUUGUUGGGUCUUCACUGACUCAGUAACGAAGCUAACGCGUGAAGUUGACCGCCUGGGGAGUACGGCCGCAAGGUG